AGAGUUUGAUCCUGGCUCAGAUUGAACGCUGGCGGCAUGCUUUACACAUGCAAGUCGAACGGCAGCACGGGUGCUUGCACCUGGUGGCGAGUGGCGAACGGGUGAGUAAUGCGUCGGAACGUACCGAGUAAUGGGGGAUAACGCAGCGAAAGUUGUGCUAAUACCGCAUACGCCCUGAGGGGGAAAGUGGGGGACCGCAAGGCCUCACGUUAUUCGAGCGGCCGACGUCUGAUUAGCUAGUUGGUGGGGUAAAGGCCUACCAAGGCGACGAUCAGUAGCGGGUCUGAGAGGAUGAUCCGCCACACUGGGACUGAGACACGGCCCAGACUCCUACGGGAGGCAGCAGUGGGGAAUUUUGGACAAUGGGGGCAACCCUGAUCCAGCCAUUCCGCGUGAGUGAAGAAGGCCUUCGGG
rnacentral:rRNA from 1 species